UAGGGAAUCUUCCACAAUGGACGCAAGUCUGAUGGAGCAACGCCGCGUGAGUGAAGAAGGUUUUCGGAUCGUAAAGCUCUGUUGUUGGUGAAGAAGGUUAGAGGCAGUAACUGGUCUUUAUUUGACGGUAAUCAACCAGAAAGUCACGGCUAACUACGUGCCAG
rnacentral:rRNA from 1 species